AACGAACGCUGGCGGCAGGCUUAACACAUGCAAGUCGAGCGGACCCUUCGGGGUCAGCGGCGGACGGGUGAGUAACGCGUGGGAACGUGCCCUUUUCUUCGGAAUAGCCCUGGGAAACCGGGAGUAAUGCCGGAUACGCCGUUUCGUGGAGACACGGGAUGGGAAAGAUUUAUCGGAGGAGGAUCGGCCCGCGUUGGAUUAGGUAGUUGGUGGGGUAACGGCCUACCAAGCCGACGAUCCAUAGCUGGUUUGAGAGGAUGAUCAGCCACACUGGGACUGAGACACGGCCCUGACUCCUACGGGUGGCAG
rnacentral:rRNA from 1 species